rnacentral:rRNA from 1 species
UACGGAGGGUGCAAGCGUUAAUCGGAAUUACUGGGCGUAAAGCGCACGCAGGCGGUUUGUUAAGUCAGAUGUGAAAUCCCCGGGCUCAACCUGGGAACUGCAUUUGAAACUGGCAAGCUUGAGUCUCGUAGAGGGGGGUAGAAUUCCAGGUGUAGCGGUGAAAUGCGUAGAGAUCUGGAGGAAUACCGGUGGCGAAGGCGGCCCCCUGGACGAAGACUGACGCUCAGGUGCGAAAGCGUGGGGAGCAAACAGGAUUAGAUACCCUGGUAGUCCACGCCGUAAACGAUGUCUAUUUGGAGGUUGUUCCCUUGAGGAGUGGCUUCCGGAGCUAACGCGUUAAAUAGACCGCCUGGGGAGUACGGCCGCAAGGUUAAA